rnacentral:rRNA from 1 species
ACUCCUACGGGAGGCAGCAGUGGGGAAUAUUGCACAAUGGGGAAACCCUGAUGCAGCCAUGCCGCGUGUGUGAAGAAGGCCUUCGGUUGUAAAGCACUUUCUAGUAGGGAGGAAGGUAGUGUAGUUAACACCUGCAUUAUUUGACGUUACCUACAGAAGAAGCACCGGCUAACUCCGUGCCAGCAGCCGCGGUAAUACGGAGGGGUGCGAGCGUUAAUCGGAAUUACUGGGCGUAAAGCGCAUGCAGGCGGCCUGUUAAGUCAGAUGUGAAAGCCCGGGGGCUUAACCUCGGAAUUGCAUUUGAAACUGGCAGGCUAGAGUCUUGUAGAGGGGGUAGAAUUUCAGGUGUAGCGGUGAAAUGCGUAGAGAUCUGAAGGAAUACCAGUGGCGAAGGCGGCCCCCUGGACAAAGACUGACGCUCAGAUGCGAAAGCGU